GGGCCUGUAGCUCAGCUGGUUAGAGCGCAUCGUUGACAUCGAUGAGGUCAGCCGUUCGAGUCGGCUCAGGCCCA
rnacentral:tRNA from 1 species